GACGUAGGGUGCAAGCGUUGUCCGGAUUUACUGGGCGUAAAGAGCGCGUAGGCGGUCUAGUAAGUGAGAAGUGAAAUCUCCAGGGCUCAACCCGGAAACUGCUUUUCAUACUGCCAGACUAGAGGGAUGCAGAGGUUUGUGGAAUUCCUGGUGUAGCGGUGAAAUGCGUUGAUAUCAGGAGGAACACCCAUGGCGAAGGCAGCAAACUGGGCAUCAUCUGACGCUGAGGCGCGAAAGCGUGGGUAGCAAACAGG
rnacentral:rRNA from 1 species